rnacentral:rRNA from 1 species
CAGCCGCCACGGGAAAACGAAGGGUGCAAGCGUUACUCGGAAUUACUGGGCGUAAAGCGUGCGCAGGCGGUUAUAUAAGACAGAUGUGAAAUCCCCGGGCUCAACCUGGGAACUGCAUUUGUGACUGUAUAGCUAGAGUACGGCAGAGGGGGAUGGAAUUCCGCGUGUAGCAGUGAAAUGCGUAGAUAUGCGGAGGAACACCGAUGGCGAAGGCAAUCCCCUGGGCCUGUACUGACGCUCAUGCACGAAAGCGUUGGGAGCAAACAGGAUUAGAUACCCCUGUAGUCCCUGUCUCUUAUAC